ensembl:ncRNA F42G2.9 ncRNA
UCUCUCUCCCUCUCGUCUCAUGUCUCUUUUUCUCAUUUUGGCGCCGCGCCUUCUAUCAAUCAAGUUGAAUUG